CUGACAGUAAAAGUAGUUUCUUAUGAGGCAUAACUGAAUGCCACGUCAAGCUUUUUAACUUUCCGGCGUGUUUGGGGUUACCGUACCACUUUUGAAUACUUCAUAACAAGCCUUUUGUCCCUGGAAUAAACCGCGGAGAAGCUGACAAGUUUUUUUUUUUAAUGAUAUUAUAUAUAUAUAUAUAUAUAUAUAUAUAUAUACACGUGGAACUACGACGCAGUACGUACUUGCUACAUCAUCGCCAAAAGACAAUUGCAACCAGACCCUGCCAAAAUCCAAGCCAUCGUUAACUGGCCCACUCCCACCAACCGCAGAACUACAAGGUUUCCUUGGAUUCGUCAACUUCUACCGUCGCUUCAUCCGCAAUUACAGUAACGUUGCAAUCCCUCUCACUAGCCUUACAUCCACCAGCUCUCCAUUUCAAUGGACCCCGGCAGCAUCCCAAGGCUUUGACGAACUUAAGACCCUUUUCACCAGUGCUCCCAUCCUCCGACAUCCCGACUCAUCCCUCCAGUUCGUGGUGGAGAUUGACGCCUCGGACACUGGGGCAGGGGUUGUUCUCUCACAGCGGGACCCCUCUUCCCAAAAACUUCAUCCCUGUGCUUUCUUUUCCCAUCGUCUAUCUCCCGCCGAACGAAACUAUGACGUUGCCAACCGUGAGCUGUUGGCCAUCAUCUGGGCAUUAGAAGCGUGGAGGCACUGGCUGGAGGCGACUGAGUUCAUUCAGUUCAUUAUCUGGACUGAUUACAAAAAUAUUGCCUACCUCCGUCCGCCAAACACCUUAACCCCCAACAAGCUCAUUGGGCCCUCUUCUUGAGCCGCUUUAAUUUCAGCCUCUCCUUCCGACCUGGAUCCCGCAACAGCAAGCCUGACACCCCGUCUCGGGUGUACUCACCCCCCUGCUCUGUCUGUGCCUGAGGGAAGUCUUCACACCUGCUCUGUCUGUGCCUGAGGGAAGUCUUCACACCUUCCCCCCGCUGGUCUGCUGCUGCGUCCCUUGCCCAUCCCGAACCGCCCUUCGUCCCACAUCGCUCUGGACUUCGUUACCGGCCUACCCCUCUGUGAAGAAUCCCCAUCGAUGUCGUCUCUGACCGAGGUCCUCAGUUCUCCUCCCUUGUCUGGAAGGAAUACUGUAAAGCGGUGGGCGCAGCAGCCAGCUUGUCUUCGGGAUACCAUCCACAGACCAAGGGCCAGACGGAGCGGGCCAAUCAAUCCCUAGAAUCGGCCCUUCGCUGCGUUGCCGCACGCAACCCCUCCUCCUGGAGCUCAUUCCUCCCGUGAAUUGAGUACACCUACAACUCCCUCACCAGCUGCGCUACCGGUAUGUCCCCGUUCAUGGCUUGCUAUGGCUUCCAACCUCCAUUAUUUAGGGAACAAGAGCAGGCGGUGGGGGUUCCCGCGGUAAAGGAUCACCUCAAAAGGGUUCAGGCAGUGUGGAAAGACGUCCGGGCGGCCUUAACCCGGUCUUCUGAGAAGAACAAAGGGCUCGCGGACCUUCAUCGCUCUCCUACGCCUCAGUACAAGUCAUUAGCACCUCCUCGGCCGCGUACCUGUCACCCAUCAGCCUUCAUCAUCAUCUGCGUUUAAGCCUGCCAGUUCCAAGACUCCACUGCCAGAGUAUUAACAUUCUCCUGUGUGCUCCCUAGGUGUUCCCCGCCGAGUUGACUUCUUCCACCACGCCACCAAACCAUCCGCCUGUUCUCCCCACUGCCUGCCACACGUAACCUGCCUCUACUACCCGCCAGCACGUCUCAAGGAUCAUCUCCAUUUCCUCUUUAGAUAAACCUUUCAUCACAACAUCUCAGCCUCCACCUGCUUCUGGGUCCAGUCAAAAAACAAAUCGUGACAAACACAGUCCCUUGUGGCGUAAACAAAACAUCCUGGUUGCUAGGCUAACACUGAAAUGCUGCUUCCGCUAUUUAAACGGACAUAGCUAUACUAAAUGUUAACCGAUUACCAAAAUCUAUACACCAUUGGAAAGUAUUUUUAAUUCCUUUUUAAAAAAUGUACAAAGCUCAAAACGUGCUUUCGUGCUGGAGGAUCACAUACCAUCAAAAGAUUUGGAGAAUCUGGAGAAAUCUCUGCACGUAAGCAGCAGCAAGGCCGAAAACCAACAUUAAAAGCCUGUGACCUUUGAUCCCUCCGGCGGCACUGCAUUAACAAACAGCAUCAUUGUAUCAAGGAUAUUGCCACGUGGGCUCAGGAACACUUCAGAAAUCAAAUCAAACUCAAAAUGAGUGAAUAUUUGCAAAAUAUUUAUCAGUUUGAACAUUUAAUGUCUUAUCUUUUUAGUGUAUUCAGUCAAAUAGAGGUCAAAAAGGAUUUGCAAAUCAUUGUGUUCUGUUUUUAUUUAAGUUUUACACAACGUCCCAACUUCACUGGAAUUUUCACUCCAACCACUCAUCCACACAAAUACAUACAUGUGCACACACAUCACAGUUAAAAAUCAAGAUGAUAAUAAUGAUCACUGGCUGGGCACUGAGAAACCAAGUGGGAAACGCCAUCUCACAGAACCGUCUGCACCCAGAGGACACCAGCAUGGAGACCCAGUGUAGUGGCGCGAAGGGAGCCACAUUGGAUGACUGAGGACCCCAUGAAGCAGAACCAUGGGCAA